rnacentral:lncRNA from 1 species
UUAAUUAUUUGUACAUGAUGUAGGCUACCAUUUUAGUCUCAAAAUAGAGGCAUGCAAAGCAUGUACUAUAUUGUUUUGAGUAUCAUAUGGUCUCAGUGGUACUUGAAAUAUCUGCUGCAUUUGAUUCUCUUCUAGAAUGGUACAACAGAAACUUCAGGAAUAGAGCUUGUCUAUGUUAGAACCUUUUAUAACCCUUCUCC